CAACGAGCGCAACCCCUGCAUUCAGUUGCCAUCGGGUAAUGCCGGGCACUCUGGAAGGACUGCCGGCGACAAGCCGGAGGAAGGUGGGGAUGACGUCAAGUCAUCAUGGCCCUUAUGUCCAGGGCGACACACGUGCUACAAUGGCCGGCACAGCGGGAAGCGGAGGGGCGACCCUGAGCGGAUCCCUUGAAAGCCGGUCCCAGUUCGGAUUGCAGUCUGCAACUCGACUGCAUGAAGUUGGAAUCGCUAGUAAUCGCGGAUCAGCCAAGCCGCGGUGAAUACGUUCCCGGGCCUU
rnacentral:rRNA from 1 species